rnacentral:lncRNA from 1 species
AAAAAAGAAGAAGCCUUGAAAUUAGUUUGAUAUUUGCCUCGUCAUCUUUUAGAAGCAAUACCAAUGAACAUCUCAUAACCAGAGUCGGAUCUACUAUCCCCAAAAUUGGUGUCUACUUACAUCCCUUUUCUAUUUGGUGUCUCCCGAUAUAUAGCGUAUAUAUCAUGUCUUAAAAAAAAAAAAUCCAUGAAUUUCUUUUUGCAAAGAACCCAGUAGUAUAGUGAUUUGGAGCAAAUGCUCCUCUCAAGAAAAGUCCUG